rnacentral:rRNA from 1 species
AUUGAACGCUGGCGGCAGGCCUAACACAUGCAAGUCGAACGAGAGGCGCACGGGGGAGUACAAUGUGGGAGACAGCCUGAUGUGGGGGGAGAACUAUUGUAAACGGGGUCUAAUAUCGCGUACACUCAGGUGUGCCCAGAUGGGGGUAGCUAGUGGGGGGGGUAACGGCUCACCUAGGCGACGAUCCCUAGCUGGUCUGAGAGGAUGACCAGCCACACGGGAACUGAGACACGGUCCAGACUCCUACGGGAGGCAGCAGUGGGGAAUAUUGCACAAUGGGCGAAAGCCUGAUGCAGCCAUGCCGCGUGUGUGAAGAAGGCCUUCGGGUUGUAAAGCACUGUCAGCGGGGAGGCGUUACUCGCAGAAGAAGCACCGGCUAACUCCGUGCCAGCAGCCGCGGUAAUAC